UUCAUGACCAAAGGUCUUUUUGAGGCCAUUCGAGUUUAACACUUUCCAAUGUUCAAGCUUGGGGCUCGAACUUCUCGUUACUUUGAGGAUGUCUAUUUUCUCCUGCUAGUGUUGGGUUCCCCCUUAGGGACUGGAGAUUUUUGACAAGGGUUUUCUUCCUCAUUGAGACGAGGUCCCUUGAGUCUUAGAUGUAGUUUGUUUUUUCCUUAUCUCUGGUGUAGCUUGUCACUUUUUCUUUUUCUCUUUCCCUUUCUUUAUGUUAGGGAGAGGGUUUUUCUUCUGCUCCUAAC
rnacentral:lncRNA from 1 species